rnacentral:rRNA from 1 species
ACGAACCUCUGGUGUGCCAGUUGUCCUGCCAAGGGCAUGGCUGGUUGGCUACGUUCGGAAAGGAUAACCGCUGAAAGCAUCUAAGCGGGAAGCCUGCUUCGAGAUGAGGACUCCCACCCCCUUUGAGGGGUUAAGGCUCCCAGUAGACGACUGGGUUGAUAGGCCAGAUAUGGAAGCCCGGUAACGGGUGGAGUUGACUGGUACUAAUAGGCCGAGGGCUUGUCCU